rnacentral:sRNA from 1 species
GAAAACGAGAAAAGAGGAAGAAAAGAAGGAUCGUGGUUUGAGGUGGUUCUUUGUAGACUCAUCAACUGGCACUCUGGUAAUGUUUCCCAUGAGGAGGUGGCUGCUGCUACGUGCUCCCUGCUCUUUCUUCAUUGUUAUUCAAUAACAUUGCGCCUCGAGGCGCGUUCUUCUGUUUGCGUUUGACUGGAUUUCGCGCAUCUUGCACACGAUUACAACGCGCCCGAUGUUGCAACAUUGCCGGUAAUGUGGCGAACAACUUUCGUUGGCUUUCUUCCUCAAUGCACACGCACAUCUUAAUGAAUAGAGCAGAGCUUUAAGAGAAUACAGCACAACUACUCACUGCCUCCACAUUACCAGACACACAGAAAUAGCUUACAUAUAAUUAGCAUACAUUAGACUAAAAAACUGAGAAAUUGUUGUAAUUAGUAUGGUAGAUAAGAUUUCAGCAUCUAAAUUGACACUUAAAUUAUAAGCAAUAGUUAGUUUGAUGAAGCAAUCCAGCAUUGGCAAGCCAUUUACCGAUUCUUUAACUUAAACUUGAGGUCAACACUGGUUGUGUUUGUAAAUAAACGAUAACUGAGUUUCUUUAUCAGUGUAUGUGAAUGUCUUUGCCUAGUAGAUCACGAGAAAGCAAUAAAUUACGGAACUUUAAAUAUAAUUGAGCUGCUCCUAAAAUAUCACGUAUACGACAUGAUGUCCCAAUUAUAUGCACAUCCUGUCGUAUACGUGAUAUUUUAGGAGCAGCUCAAGAGUGAGUUGUCAUAGUUAUAGUUUCAUAUCUUGGAUGGGAGCCACCAAAAUGUAAAACGUACACUGCUAAAGUAGAGGGUUUCAGAUAAACACAUUCCAUAAAAAUAAUCACAUGUUGUAUGUAUGUACACAUGUAUUUAUCACCAAUGGGCGUCGCAAACUAAAAACUGUUGGAGUAGUGAUGAAGACCCCCCUAAAACAUCGCUGAGUUUGGACAAGCGAAAAUUCAGCUAUUUGUUGCUACUUUCAUUAAGAACAUGAUAAUCAACCGACUGGCAAAUGAAAGGUUAUCGCACGAUAUGGCCAGGAAUUGCAGCUAACAGCGCCGUUAACAGGGGCAACAAGUGGCAGCAGAAGUCCGGAGAAAGCAAACACCGGAGGAAUAUACAAAACCCGGAUAAUUAAGGCGACACCGUUAAAUUAACCCCUGGUCACAAAAAGCAGAAGCACUCACACACACGCGCGCAUGGCGACAGAAUAAACAAGAAGACUUGUUUGUGUUUUUUUUGGGCGUUCACCGUGAGCAGAAAAGUUGUUCGAAAAGUGGAAAAGGGGAAAUGCGAAAAGCACGAAAGUCGCGCAAAGAAAACCCUACAAGUUACUCCGUAGCCCCCCAUUGCCCCUUCCCCUUGCCAAAUUGAUCAAUCAAUUCACUCGCCGACCUUUUAACUCAAUGAUGUUCUGCACUUUAUAUAACACUUGCUGAGAGCAGCCAACAAACAAUUAAUAUGCCCACAGAUACACAGUCGUUCAACAAUAAUGCUGCCUGAUAAGGCAGUGA